ACCAUGCAGUCGAGCGGAUGAAGGGAGCUUGCUCCUGGAUUCAGCGGCGGACGGGUGAGUAAUGCCUAGGAAUCUGCCUGGUAGUGGGGGACAACGUUUCGAAAGGAACGCUAAUACCGCAUACGUCCUACGGGAGAAAGCAGGGGACCUUCGGGCCUUGCGCUAUCAGAUGAGCCUAGGUCGGAUUAGCUAGUUGGUGAGGUAAUGGCUCACCAAGGCGACGAUCCGUAACUGGUCUGAGAGGAUGAUCAGUCACACUGGAACUGAGACACGGUCCA
rnacentral:rRNA from 1 species